UACGUAGGGGGCUAGCGUUGUCCGGAUUUAUUGGGCGUAAAGAGCGUGUAGGCGGCCAGGUAGGUCUGGUGUGAAAACUCGAGGCUUAACCUCGAGAUGUCAUCGGAAACCAUCUGGCUAGAGUCCGGAAGAGGAGAGUGGAAUUCCUGGUGUAGCGGUGAAAUGCGCAGAUAUCAGGAAGAACACCAAUGGCGAAAGCAGCUCUCUGGGACGGUACUGACGCUGAGACGCGAAAGCGUGGGGAGCGAGCAGG
rnacentral:rRNA from 1 species